rnacentral:lncRNA from 1 species
CCUGGGGGUCCAUCAGAGGCUGUGACAAGAGAGUCUAGCCUGAUGAUGUGCCUUUCUAAAGGGCGAGGGCUUCUGGAGGCAGGAGGGAGAAUGGUUGGGGGGUGACAAUGAGGAGCAAGGAAGUCACCCACCUCCCCUUCAGGCCCCUUGGUACAAGGGUAGUGGGACAGAAAACAAACCCAACCCAAGACGGCUACAGUGGAAGCUUGCUCUCGGAAAGGAGCCAGGUUUUGGUUAAAGGGAGAAUAGGAAAGGAAUAUUUAAAGAAGCUGAUGAUAUUUACUUUCUAUGCCCAGCACUCAGCUGGACACUGAGACAGUGAACAAAAGAGUGAAAUAUCCUCCCUCCUGGGCCUUAUGUUCCACCUGGUGAGACAGAGUAAACAAGAUUGAAAAAGUCAAAUAUAUAGUCUAUUAGAUAGUGCUAAAUAUUAGGGGAAAAAAUAAAGCAGUGAAGAAAGAUCGAAGUGUCAGUAAUUGGGAGUUAAAACUAUAAUAGUUAGCUAAGACAGGCUCCCUGAGAAGAAGACAUUGAGUAAAGGCCUGAAGGAAAUUGGAAAGCUGACCAGAGACCUGGGGGUAAGAAGAACAGCAACUGCAAAGGCCCUGAGGUGACAGCAUGCCCACGAUGUCUGAGGAAGAGCGAGGAGGAACGACCAUGGAGAGAGGUCUGGCAUGACAAGGGGAACAAGGAGGAGCCCACCCCACCUCCAGGCCUGGAGCAGAGAAGCAGGAGUGAGCAGAGCCAUCACUUAGGGAGCCGCUGGGAAGCUGAGCUCUCAGGGAGAGUCAGGGUCCGUUCCCUCUGUAGUUCUCCACCCUAGCCUCAAAUGAGAAACACCUGGGGAAUUUGGAGACCACACCGGAGCCUGGACCCCACUAUCUGAGGUUUGAAUUUCAUUAGUCUGGUGAGGAGCCUGGACUUGGGUGUGUUCUUAAGCCCCUGACGUGAUUUGACUGUGCAGCUCGGGAGGGAGAGGGAGACGGUGAAGGGGACGCUGACAGGAGUCCAAGGAUGUGGGGGACUUUGCCGGUGAUUGGCCUGGGGUCCAGAGGGAAAAUGGCAGGCUUCAGGACAUGGGACCAGACUAGGGGAGGAUGGUGGGCAUGAGGAUGAAGUCUGGGGGAGUGGGGAGACCUGGCAGACCUGGGCUGAAAGAGGGGUCAAGUGCCUGCCUGUGGUCUCAAGGCACAUCGUGGUGGUGAGGCUCGGAGUGUUGGGUGUUGGGGAGAGGGAGGGAUGGGGUCUCGCCUGGAGCACAGAGAGGGCAGUGGCCCCUCUUUACCUGGCAGUGGCAGAGGCUGGAAGAGGGGGAGGGGAUCCGAGUGGAACACCUUGAAUUUGAGGCUCCGCCCUGGCUCCUAGCUUCCUCUUCUCCGCGUCCGAUCCGUCAGCAAGUCAGUAGGCUCUGCAGAGACUGAGACAAAGGUCUGGGUGCAGGUAGCUUAUUUGGAAGGUGUUGCCAGAAGGUGGGGGUGAGGAGGCACCGAGAGUGAGAUGGGGAGGGCACAAAGUCCAUGUAAGGGUGUUGUCAGCCUCACUGCUGUAGGGGAGGGGCUGCAUCCCACAGGACCUCUGGGAAGCAUUCAGAAUACCUGGCGGGGUUGUCUUGCCAAAGAUGGGAGGCCGAAGCCUUUAUCCACUGGCUCCCAUCCCCACUGGUGGAGGCUGCUUCUGGGGCGUCAGUUCCCUGACCACCAGCCUGUGCUUGCCUGAGGGCCAAGGUAGUUCCAGCUGCAAGGCUGCACUGGAGAAGGCUCUGGAGCCAGAGGCAAGUCAGCACUUUUCAAGACAGCCGUGGCUAAACUCAGAGGUGGGCGAGAGGCUGCACCACAGGCUCCAUGGUGUCUGCUGCCUGACCCAUUGCCCCACUAGAGUGCAAGUUCUUAGCGAGCGGAGACUGUCAUUUCUGUUCACGGAUGUGUCCCAAGAGCCCAGCACAGUGCCUGACAGACAGCAGGGAGCAACGAAUAUUAAUUGAAGGAAGUUAAUCCUUUCAUCAAUCCAGUGCAGAUCCUAUCAGCUCCAACUUCAAAAGACAGUCAGAAUCCGGUCCCUUCCCACCUCCUCCACCGCUUGCACCUGGAGCCUCCCAGCUGGUCUCCCUUGCCCCUCACCGUCCAUGUGUGCAGCCCAGGACACCAUCGCAUUGGUAUCGCAUGGUUGCCCGGUGGUGGGAGGAGGGUGGAGUCCUUCAGGAUCUUGGACAUAUUGUAAUCAUGUUUUAAUAGUGUUACAAGGAGAGUGAUACUUAUAUGAUCAAAACAUUUUAAAACAGAAGAUGGAGCAGCACCUCCCCACCCCCCAGCCUCAAGG